CUGUCUAAAGCCCCUCUAUUACCCCAGGCAUGGAGGGCUCUCUACCUUCUGCCUGUUUUAUGUCUGUCUGUCUAAAGCCCCUCUCUAUUACCCCAGGCAUGGAGGGCUCUCUACCUUCUGCCUGUUUUAUUUCUGCCUGUCUAAAGCCCCUCUCUAUUACCCCAGGCAUGGAGGGCUCUCUACCUUCUGCCUGUUUUAUUUCUAUCUGUCUAAAGCCCCUCUCUAUUGCCCCAGGCAAAAACAACCUCAAACAGGUUAGGUGUUCUAAACACAUGUACUGUAUAUCAUCUUCUGAGACGUUUACACAUGAUUCAAUUUGAACUAACAACCCUAACAUGGGCAAAUCAUUGAGUAAUGAAAGUCUGUUUUGAGCACUGACAUUUUGGUAUUUAAUUUGAAUGGGGAAUGUGUGUGUUUCUCUUUUCUAACACAACGAUGACACUACUUUACAAAUCCUGUAGUGUUGACGUAUGAGUAUAACUGUCCUAUUUGAAAGCAGGUUUGUUGCUAAUGUUUCUUGUGGAAUCUUUUUUCUUUGCUCUUCUCUUUCUCUCCUGUCUCAUUUACAAUUAAGCUGUCAGAUUAAUAGUCCAUGUCUAUGAAUAAUUUCUUUCAUAGACAAAUCUUACGUUUUUAUAAUUAUUAAGCAUGGUUUAAUUCUAAUCUAAAAAGUGAUUAGAGCAUAAGUCAUUUUUAAAAAGUUGCUGAAUAUUGCUUUGGCUAAAGUCCAAAAUCUCUCUGCCAAAUUAAUUGUUUCAAAAGCAUCAUUAAGUCGCUAACAUCUCUCUAAGACAUGAUUGAUUUCUAACUCGGCAACCACUCUCAUGUUUCACUCCCUGAUUCAUAUUCUACAGUAGUUGUACUACAAUUGAUGUUAUGAACAUGUGAGUUUACCUUUAGAACACAAAUUAAGUCCUGCCAUGUUUUCUGAGUUAAGGAGGCAUUAGUUGGCCUUUACUCACACAGAACUCAAUUCACAUCUUACUGGGUUUCUAUAUGGGAUGUUUUCAAAUGGAUUUUUAAAAUCUUUGUAAGUGAUUUAGAGUUGUACAUAUUCAAUUUCACUUGAGUUAUUUCAUCCCUCUAAAAACAUAAAAUCAUUGUAAAUUACUAGGCUUAUGCUGGUAAUGGCCAUUCGUAUAGUAAAUUGGGUCAGGUCAGUUGAGAUUAAGCUGGUUGGGUGGAUGGAGUAUUAACUGAACUUGCUGCUAAAGAUGAGGAUAAAUGGAUUGAAAAGGGUCAAACCCUCCACAUCCAUUGUAUACAUUAAUGCUGCUUAGUUUGAGGGGAAAUGUAACAGUCAUACAUGUUAUUUUACGCUGUACAGUGGAAUGGAUCCAGUGAUGUACAGUACUCUUUGCUGGUGUCAUGUUGCAUGUUUGAUUGGUUGCUCUUUUGCUUCAUGUUAGGGGUAAUAACACUUCAUUAUAACACUAGUGGAGCUAUGGAAUAAGAUGUGCUCUCAUUUAUUAUUCACUAGGUUUAUUUCCAGCAGGCUCCCUUUUCAGCUCCAACUAGCCCUUUUCACUGACUUCCUACUGUUGCCACUCUAUUUCAGACAGACUUAAGAUUCCACAAUUUCUGACCGACUGUGUGAAAGUCGACCGAAUGCCCAACUUCCCUGGCUUACAGGGUCCACCACCACUCACAAGAUAGUGGAGGUCCUUUGUUUGGGUUGGGUUUUGGGGGAGUCAGGAUUACUUGUACACAGCAAUCAAAUUUUAACAGUAAAUGUUCUGUCUUGAACAAAGCAUACCUCUUAUAUUGUUAUGUUCAUCAGAACCAAAGAAAGUCCUUCAUCACCCAUAGUACUUGGGUUUAUUGUCCAUCACCACAUAAGCAGUUAGGGAACAAAAGUUGUGCGCCCUGAAUCAGCCAGGAUAUGCUCUUGUUCAAGCUGCUAAUAGUUUGGUUUGGGACAGCUUAAGCGUGUUUACUCUCUAUGGACGAUUGUAUGGAGAAUACAAGCAAUACAGCAGAUUUGUGUGUGUCUGGGUGGCCUGAGAGAGGAGUGUGUGUAGGGGAUGAUGGACUGUACUUUGAGUGUGAGGAGUUCCAGACACACAUUCAGAGCUUUUGUUUAAAGAAACUAAGUUAUAGAAAUGUAUUUUUUAUUCAAAUGUGUUUACUAUAUUACAUUGUUUGCAGAUUGUUUAUUUUUUUGCUGAGGGUUAGGAUCCAAGUGGAUGAUGGGGGUUGGUAUGUUAUUGUAUCCAGUUAUGCAUUGUUUAUUAUUUACAACUUUGUUAUAUUUAGUUUAAAAUGUUUUCCUCACCCCCCCCCCCCCAAAAAAAAACAUCUUCGAAAAUAAAAUAAUGAAUUGAUAAAA